ACAGGUGAAAUUGUGACUUUCAUAGGCACACCCAGCAGAAGAUUAGGAUUGUCACUCUCAUAUGUGGACAGAGCCUACUAGUAAGCUCCUGAAUCUCACAUGUUGAUUAAGUCCACAGUUGGAAUUGUGACUGUUACAUGUAAAUCUGGCCACAGGUGGGAUGGUGACUCAUUUCUGGUCCCAGCUCAUAGGCAUGCUGAUGGUAAGGAUUAUUACCCUUCCAUAUGGACACAGCCCAUUGUUGAGGUUCUGAAUCUCACAGCUGGAGGCAAUUGAAAGUUGGAUGUGUGAUUCUUAUACAUGGAUCCAGAUCACAGGGUAAUUUGUGACAUACUGCUGGACCCAGCACCCAGAUCAUUUGACUCUCCUGCCUUGGUCCUGCCCACAGAGGGCAUUGUGACAUGUGAGUGGGCUCAGCAGCCAGAUGAUGUCACCUUCCUGCCAGGACUCUUCCAACAGAAGGGGCAUUGACCUACUCAGGCUCAGUAUUCAGGUGCUGUCUGAGGUUUGGCUGUCAUGCGUGGAUUCAAGUUGCUGUUGAAAUUGUGAUGUGCAGCUGGGCAUGGUGGCUCAUGCUUGUAAUCCCAGCACUUUGGGAGGCCAAGGCAGGUGGAUCACCU
rnacentral:lncRNA from 1 species